rnacentral:rRNA from 1 species
UACGAAGGGGGCUAGCGUUGCUCGGAAUCACUGGGCGUAAAGCGCACGUAGGCGGCCUCUUAAGUCAGGGGUGAAAUCCUGGAGCUCAACUCCAGAACUGCCUUUGAUACUGAGGAGCUUGAGUCCGGGAGAGGUGAGUGGAACUGCGAGUGUAGAGGUGAAAUUCGUAGAUAUUCGCAAGAACACCAGUGGCGAAGGCGGCUCACUGGCCCGGUACUGACGCUGAGGUGCGAAAGCGUGGGGAGCAAACAGG